rnacentral:rRNA from 1 species
GAUGAACGCUGGCGGCGUGCCUAAUACAUGCAAGUCGAGCGAACAGACGAGGAGCUUGCUCCUCUGACGUUAGCGGCGGACGGGUGAGUAACACAUGGAUAACCUACCUAUAAAACUGGGAUAACUUCGGGAAACCGGAGCUAAUACCGGAUAAUAUAUUGAACCGCAUGGUUCAAUAGUGAAAGACGGUUUUGCUGUCACUUAUAGAUGGAUCCGCGCCGCAUUAGCUAGUUGGUAAGGUAACGGCUUACCAAGGCAACGAUGCGUAGCCGACCUGAGAGGGUGAUCGGCCACACUGGAACUGAGACACGGUCCAGACUCCUACGGGAGGCAGCAGUAGGGAAUCUUCCGCAAUGGGCGAAAGCCUGACGGAGCAACGCCGCGUGAGUGAUGAAGGUCUUCGGAUCGUAAAACUCUGUUAUUAGGGAAGAACAAAUGUGUAAGUAACUAUGCACGUCUUGACGGUACCUAAUCAGAAAGCCACGGCUAACUACGUG